UGGCUAAGAUCUAGUCAAAAGAUCAGCCGACCAUUCCUACGUUUAUUAAGCGAAGGCCGAACCCAUCGGGUUUGGCCGUACGUAAUACCGUACGAAACGCCGGUCGUAGUGCCGUAAGCCGUACCCACUACAGUCUCGUCACCUUACCACACAUAUAAAUACCCAGCGUCCCGAUCGACUACAGUAUGUG